rnacentral:tRNA from 1 species
GCCCAUGUAGCUCAGUCGGUAGAGCACUCCCUUGGUAAGGGAGAGGUCGUCGGUUCGAAUCCAAUCGUGGGCACCA